ensembl:lncRNA
CUUACAAUAUUAUCCAGGUAUUGGCCUCAGGCAAGAUUUCUGACUACCUAAAAUUGACAUUGAAAGUUAAGAAGCCAUACCCCCUCAAAAGUUAACUAUAUCAAAUAGUUAACUUGUUGCUGCCGCUGCUGCUAAGUUGCUUCAGUUGUGUCCGACUCUGUGCGACCCCAUGGAUUGCAGCCCACCAGGCUUCAUGGACUCUGUGCGACCCCAUGGAUUGCAGCCCACCAGGCUUCUCCGUCCAUAGGAUUCUCCAGAUGCUUUAGUUUCAAGGAAGCUGAAUCAACCAGCGCACAUGGUCACUUGAAUCAGGACACUCCAGACACAGAGACGGGAGACAGUGCAGAGCCAAGGACAGAAGGGCCAGGAGAGAGGCUCUCCUCUCGGGAGGAAGUGACAAUAAUAA